rnacentral:lncRNA from 1 species
UUAACGAUGCGUGUACAUGAUCAAGAGGUCACGUUUAAUGUCUUUAAGGUGAUAAAGUUCCCAUCGGAUGAAGAAGAAUGCUUCUUGGUUGACUUGGUGGAUUGGGGUCCGAAGAAUGAAGUACAAAAACCGGAAAAUUAUGGACUGUUGAACUAUGUAACGGGCAAAAGUUCAGAGUCGAAGGUAGAACCGUUGAUGAAAACUGAAGUCAUUAAAUUUCGGGGUGCGAUGGACAGUAAGGAAGGCACCUCAAUUCUUGAUGUGACAUGAG